AGGCCUCAAAACCUAAGGUUCUUUCCUUACAUAUUCACAUGAAUGCUAUAGCAUCUCCCUGUUCCUUAAAUAUAAGGCACAAAAUUAUCUACCAUGAAUCUCCCAUGUAUUUCCCUCCCACUCACCUCCCAACUUGCUCUCAUAUCUGAGAUUUUCUUGUCGGGUCUGGGGUGUCCAAGCAUUGCCUUUGCCCUGGCUGGCCUUAUGACAUCAACAGCCCAGUGACACCAACAUCAACUAGGGUGUGUUACAAAAGCAGCAUCUCAAGUCCUUGUGCAUCUAUUGAUCUGGAGCCUGCAUUUAACCGGGGUCUACAGACACACCUGAAACUUGGGAAGUGGUGCCUUGGAGGGCAGGCUGCCCACUCUAGGUCGUGACGAUCCUGUAUCUUAGAGCCAAAGAAUAACUCAAGAAGGUGGAAAUCACAAAAGAAGGAGGUUAAGGAGGGGGAGCAAUGGUGGCUGUGCCAGAAGGCAACGUUGAGGGAGCAGAGGCAUCCAAGACCCACUAUCUGGGCUACUACAGAACUUGGGUGCUCACGAGAGAGAAGAAAUACCAUGUGAAAACAACAGUGGGCACGGCACAGCCAGACUAGCUGUGAAGCUGUCACCAACUUCGGAGGAGAAAGUUCUUUAGAACUGCAGGAAGAUUUUAUUAACCAAUUCACCUAAUGAC